CUCUGAUGUUGAUAACUUGGUUGUGUUAUACUUAAGGGUCCUGUUUUGGCUAGCUGUACACUGAUAAUGUAGAAAAGCAUCCUUGAGUGAUUGUUCAAGUGUUGCUUUUUUUGGUUUACAGGUAUACAAUCGAGAAGCUCAUAAACUGAUACUUUGAAUAACACUUUCAGAAAGACCUUCUAUAAUUUGAAGAUUAAAUGUUGUGCUUUGAGAGACCUGUAUUAACCUACCAUAAGAGAGCACUUCCCAAAUAUGUUUGUUAACAUGUGAGAGUUGGAACCAAGUCCUGAUUAAUUGUAUACAGCAGAUUAGUUAUUGAUGAAAAGGAAUCUGAGUGAGAGAUGAACCUCUUAGGAAGAUAAGCACAAUGGAUUCUAUGGUCUACAUCCCUUUCUUCUACCCUUGGCACUAUGGUCCCUUUCAUCCUGGAGCUGAUUGCAAGGUGGCAAGAUCUUAAUAUCUGGUUUGAGUUCAGGGUGAAGAAAAGAAUUCACUGGCCUGUCCUUUGACCAAAAGUUCCAACGUUCCCUUAGGAGAGUCGGUGGGCACUGCUCCACUUGGAAUUUCGUCCAGCGAUGCAGUCACCUUUCACACAAUGCACAAGGUCUUUAGAGCGUGGUGCUGGGUACAUAAUGUUAUGAGCUUCUUUAUAUCCAUUAGCCUUUCAGACCUGUUGACUCUUCGCCACCAUGGAUCACUGUGCUCCUUCUGACCCUAUCUGCCCCUCUGCUCAUCACCAUAAGUUCAGCUUAUUCGUACAUUUUCCUGUGUAAGCUCAUUCAAAUAGAAAUAGCAGGUGCAUAAUUGACCUCAUAAAUCCAAAUAUAAUUCUGAUUCACAUAGAUAUUGUCACACCUUUCAUUUCUCCUUAUGUCUCAGCAAUUGUUUAGAAAGGAGGCUCCUUGAAGACAUAGGUUAUGUGCUUUUUAUUUGAAUAUUAUUUGAGAGCUUACAAAGAUGAGUCAGUUGUUAAAAUAAACAAAUUCAGUUAAAAUACUACUUUGUGUUA
rnacentral:lncRNA from 1 species